CGCACACAAAGACUUUUUAAUAAAUAUAUAUAAAAUUAUAUUUUAUGCACUUUAACUUAUUUUUCAGUGAAUUAAUUGGUUUCAUUGAUGAAAUAGAAGGACCGAAAAUAGUAGGCAAAUUACAAAGUUACAGACUAUUAAAAUUUAUGUUAAAUAACAAUAGUCAACAUAGGAUCCAAAUAGUUGCAUGGAAUAAAGAAAUUGAAAAAAUAGAACAUCAUAUGAAACCUAAUUAUAUGUACAUGGUUUUAUAAAAACAAAUUUUAAUUACACACAAAUAAAUCAUAACAGUUUUGGUAUUGGAUCUAUUACUGAUGGGAUGUAUAAAUUAGAAGUACAAGUAAAUGAUAAUUGUGAUGAAAAUAUAUAUGAAAAAGGACAACACGUACAAAUUAAAGGAUAUAUUAAAAUUAAAAAUGACAUAUUUUAUUUAGAAGUGGAGAAAAUGUCAGAUGUUACACUAUUUGAUAAUCAGAUAAUGUCAUUUUUAAAGCAUUUAAGUGGAGGAAAAAUUGUAUUAAAAAGACAACAUGCAGAAGACAAUUGUGAAACUGCCCAAAAAAUCAUUAGAAAAUGUUUUUCUAAAAAAAUAUUCGAUAUAUUAAUUUAUGAGUUAUAGUCAUUAAUUUGAGUUAUAGUUAUAAUAAAGUUAUGCUGAAGAUAUUGUACUGUUAUUAUGGUUUCUUUUUUAAACGUUUAAAAGUAAAAGAUGAAAGUUA